AGCGAACGCUGGUGGCAGGCCUAACACAUGCAAGUCGAACGGAUCCUUCGGGAUUAGUGGCGGACGGGUGAGUAACACGUGGGAACGUGCCCUUUGGUUCGGAACAACUCAGGGAAACUUGAGCUAAUACCGGAUGUGCCCUUCGGGGGAAAGAUUUAUCGCCAUUGGAGCGGCCCGCGUCUGAUUAGCUAGUUGGUGAGGUAAAGGCUCACCAAGGCGACGAUCAGUAGCUGGUCUGAGAGGAUGAUCAGCCACAUUGGGACUGAGACACGGCCCAAACUCCUACGGGAGGCAGCAGUGGGGAAUCUUGCGCAAUGGGCGAAAGCCUGACGCAGCCAUGCCGCGUGAAUGAUGAAGGUCUUAGGAUUGUAAAAUUCUUUCACCGGGGACGAUAAUGACGGUACCCGGAGAAGAAGCCCCGGCUAACUUCGUGCCAGCAGCCGCAGUAACAC
rnacentral:rRNA from 1 species